CCCCUCACUAUUGCCAAGCGUGGGAGAGAGCCUAACCUCUGCGAGCUGCUGCUACUGUGGCUCUGACCUUCUUCUCCUGGGGCUGCGAGUGCCUCUCAGAGGAGCUGUUAAGCAGGCAGUUUUGCUGGGAGAACGCAGGCGCUGGAGCAGCUCUCACCGAUGCCAGGGGGAGUUUUGUCCUGGAGCACCACUGGACGCGUCAAUCUUAUUAGCUGCCUUAUGCAUGAGUCAAAGCACGAGGGCUGAAGGCUGGAUGUGUUUGUUCUGCAAAUUGGGCUAAUGUUGUGAAGACCAUAAAAGGGGAAGACCCACUAACUUCGAUAUGCAGCAACAUCAGUAGCCUCUGAUUCAUGGAGCCCUUCACCUUCUCACUGAAUCAAGGAGAGAAAAGGUGGUUUUGCCUCCUGCAAGGCUGGCCCUGUGCCAUGUUGCUUCACCCUGAUCACACAGAGCAAGGAGCACAGACUGCCCUUCGUGAGCACCUGCCUACCCUGGAGCAAGCCCUUACAUGUGUAAAUAGCAAUUACUGCAGUAAUGAAGUAUCAGUGUGGAUGCUCCCUGACCUGUUUGGUAUCAGCAAACAAAGCAGAAGACACAUCCUUUCCUUUGGAAGAAGCUGAAGCUUUCCCCUUUCAUGAAUCUGCUGGUCUGAGAAGCUUGUGGGUACUGGCCAGGCACUCCUGCAAGGUCUCCAUGUCAUGAUGCUCCUCAGCUGACUCACCCCAUUCAUCUCUUUGGGAAGUGUGGCUCGG
ensembl:lncRNA